rnacentral:rRNA from 1 species
GGGGGGGGGGGGGGGGGGGCGGGGGGGGGGGGGGGCGGGCGGGGGGGGGGGGGGCUGGCGCGUCUGACGGGAGCGGCGGGCGGGUGAGUAACACGUGGAUAACCUACCUAUAAGACUGGGAUAACUUCGGGAAACCGGAGCUAAUACCGGAUAAUAUAUUGAACCGCAUGGGUCAAUAGUGAAAGACGGUUUUGCUGUCACUUAUAGAUGGAUCCGCGCCGCAUUAGCUAGUUGGUAAGGUAACGGCUUACCAAGGCAACGAUGCGUAGCCGACCUGAGAGGGUGAUCGGCCACACUGGAACUGAGACACGGUCCAGACUCCUACGGGAGGCAGCAGUAGGGAAUCUUCCGCAAUGGGCGAAAGCCUGACGGAGCAACGCCGCGUGAGUGAUGAAGGUCUUCGGAUCGUAAAACUCUGUUAUUAGGGAAGAACAAAUGUGUAAGUAACUAUGCACGUCUUGACGGUACCUAAUCAGAAAGCCACGGCUAACUACGUG